UACCAGCUCUCCGAGUGGUAAGGAUGAUUAUUGGGCUUAAAGCGUCCGUAGCCGGCUUAGCAAGUUUCCUGUUAAACUCUGCGACUUAAUCGUUGAAUCGCGGGAAAUACUACUAGGCUAGGAGGCGGGAGAGGUCAACGGUACUUCUGGGGUAGGGGUGAAAUCCUAUAAUCCCGGGAGGACCACCAGUGGCGAAGGCUGUCGACUAAAACGCGCUCGACGGUGAGGGACGAAAGCUGGGGGAGCGAACCGGAUUAGAUACCCGGGUAGUCCCAGCUGUAAACGAUGCGGGCUAGGUGUUGGGGUGGCUACGUGCCACUUCAGUGCCGCAGGGAAGCCAUUAAGCCCGCCGCCUGGGGAGUACGGCCGCAAGGCUGAAACUUAAAGGAAUUGGCGGGGGAGCACCACAAGGCGUGAAGCUUGCGGUUC
rnacentral:rRNA from 1 species